rnacentral:sRNA from 1 species
AGCGAGGAGGAUGGGUUCAGUGGGGAGGGGAGGGUCAGGGCUGUAGGAGGUGCUUAGCUAGGGCCAGGCCCAGACCUGAGGCAGGUGCUGGAUGUGUUGGUGGUGGCAGGGAUGAAGGCAGCAGCUUGCUCUUUGCCCAGAUUACCUCUUUGUGGCUCCCCCCACCUAUCAGGAAGUGCCCUGGGCAGGUGAGGGUCAUCUCACCUGACACAUGGGGAGGCUGGGACUUGUCUGCACACCUGAGGACACAGGGGGUGCUGGGAUGAGGAGCCAAGACAUGGGAGUCAGCACUCCCCAAGCCUUAGGGCAGUAGACCCCCAGAGGGAGGCCGCUUGCGGGAGGGGAGAGAGAAAUCCUGAUGGCCAGUAUCCGUCAGAGCAGAGCUUUCACCUGGCCCUGCUGCGGCAGCCCGGCAUCUACAAGCCCUUCGUCAUCGGCGUCUCCCUGAUGGCCUUCCAGCAGCUGUCGGGGGUCAACGCCGUCAUGUUCUAUGCAGAGACCAUCUUUGAAGAGGCCAAGUUCAAGGACAGCAGCCUGGCCUCGGUCAUCGUGGGUGUCAUCCAGGUGCUGUUCACAGCUGUGGCGGCUCUCAUCAUGGACAGAGCAGGGCGGAGGCUGCUCCUGGUCUUGUCAGGUGUGGUCAUGGUGUUCAGCACGAGUGCCUUCGGCGCCUACUUCAAGCUGACCCAGGGUGGCCCUGGCAACUCCUCGCACGUGGCCCUCUCGGCGCCUGUCUCUGCACAGCCUGUUGAUGCCAGCGUGGGGCUGGCCUGGCUGGCCGUGGGCAGCAUGUGCCUCUUCAUCGCCGGCUUUGCGGUGGGCUGGGGGCCCAUCCCCUGGCUCCUCAUGUCAGAGAUC